UGAUAACUAACAAAUAAAGAAUCUUCUCUCUUCAGGAAAAGCUCUCAUAAUCUUCUCUUUGAUUCAAAAGCUCUUAAUUGAAGGUAUGCUUAUCCAAGUUUUUAAAUUUAAUUUUGAUUACUGCUGCUAUUCCCAAAUUUAAUUUUGGCUAAAAGAUAUACAAAUUUCUUAACAAAAAAUAUCAAAUAGCCGGAAUAUUUGAUUCUAAGUCAGUAAUGGUUGUUGUGAUGUUAUCUUAGGCUCUUUUUUAAUUAAAUUAAAGUUCUUCAAGAAUUAAAUGUGCUUAGUUCCUCUCCAAUCAGUAAUUUGGCAGGGCUACAGACUUUAAUCUACAGACUAUCAAACGUAUUCAGAAACUGGAAUUUUCUGAAUUUUGAUCUUGCAUUGAGUUUUGCGAGUGUCCUGUUAUUGUGUUUUAAUCUACAGACUAUCAAACAUAUUCAGAAACUGGAAUUUUCUGAAUUUUGAUCUUGCAUUGAGUUUUGCGAGUGUCCUGUUAUUGUGUUAGUAUAACACAAUCAAACAUAUUCAGGUUUUGGCUACAGACUUUAAUCUACAGAAGUAGGCUUAAAAAGUGACUGGAGGAUAUGUGCUCUUAACAAACUGGAAUCUCUUAAAAAGCUGAAAUCUCAAGUAAUGUACUUGAGAAAUUUAUUCAAAUUCUAAUUGAUCAAUUGCAAUAUUUUAACUCAAUGGGAACUAAUUUGUAAUAUUCUCAAGUAAUUGUAUUUUCCAAUUACCCUCCAUCUUCUCAAUGGAUAACUAGAACUACCAUAAGAUAUAUAGUAUUUCUUAUUUUUUUUCUUUAAAAGAUGUGAUAAAAACAUUUAAAUCAUACAAAUACUGUAACAGAUAACAAUUUCACUUCUUAUAUCUGGUUUUUACUUUUCGGAACUUAAUAUGUAUGAACAACAAUGUCCAUAUCUAAUACACUUACUCGGGUUUGUAGAGGAGAUCCAAUAAUGAAAAUAAGUUCUUAGGCGCAACCCUACAAUGGUCGUUUAGCUACUCAAUGCAUGUGCUCAGUCUGCCUUUUCAUCACCAACAGUCCAAUAUAAAUUGGGAAAAGCUGAGUUAAAUGGAAAUUUGAAUUACAUAUUGUGAGAGAAAAGAAACAGCAAACCAGCCAAAAACCUUUGAAUGCAUUGCUGCUUUGUUCUGAAGCAAGGAGUGAAGUGAGCUAAUCUCUUCUUCUUUGGAUCAAGUUCAAUUCUGUGGUCUCCAGUACAGGUAAACACUCUAAAUUUCCAUCUACUUUUUGAGUUUUUGGUUUUAAGUAAUCUCUUUCUUUCUUGAUAAGUGUACUUGAUUGAAUUGAUUUUUUUUUUUUUUUUGUUGCUGGGGUUACCUGUAAAUAAUAUUACUUGGAUAUGCUGAAUUAUUGAUCCAUUCCUAUUUAUGCAGUGAGCAACUCGUGAUAUAUAUCACUGCUUCAAAGGACUCCUCUUUGGAUGGUUCUAAGUGGAUCACAAAAGCAGAUUCUGAGGUAUGUAGUGCCUGCUACAGAUGUAUGUGGUUUGUGUUUUAUUCUUUAUUUUUGUAGUAGUAAUUGUGUCACUACUACAGAAAA
rnacentral:lncRNA from 1 species